CAGGCGUAGGCGAUGGAUAACAGGUUGAUAUUCCUGUACCACCUAUAAUCGUUUUAAUCGAUGGGGGGACGCAGUAGGAUAGGCGAAGCGUGCGAUUGGAUUGCACGUCUAAGCAGUAAGGCUGAGUAUUAGGCAAAUCCGGUACUCGUUAAGGCUGAACUGUGAUGGGGAGAAGACAUUGUGUCUUCGAGUCGUUGAUUUCACACUGCCGAGAAAAGCCUCUAGAUAGAAAAUAGGUGCCCGUACCGCAAACCGACACAGGUAGUCAAGAUGAGAAUUCUAAGGUGAGCGAGCGAACUCUCGUUAAGGAACUCGGC
rnacentral:rRNA from 1 species